rnacentral:rRNA from 1 species
GACGUAGGGCGCGAGCGUUGUCCGGAUUUAUUGGGCGUAAAGAGCUCGUAGGCGGCUUGUCGCGUCGAAUGUGAAAUCCUGCGGCUCAACUGCAGGCUUGCAUUCGAUACGGGCAGGCUCGAGUUCGGUAGGGGAGACUGGAAUUUCUGGUGUAGCGGUGAAAUGCGCAGAUAUCAGGAGGAACACCAGUGGCGAAGGCGGCUCGCUGGGCCGGUCCUGACGCUGAGACGCGAAGGCGUGGGGAGCGAACGGG